ensembl:lncRNA
CAGUAAGUCUAGCCCACACUCAAAGGGAGGGAAAUUAAAUUCCACAUCUAUAAUAUAUAUUACCUGCUUUAGAUUCCAAAACCUAGGAGGGAGCCAAGACCAGGGGGAAAGAUGGUGUCCUGACCAAUGGGCCCAGAGCAAGAGGAGUUUGGUCUUGUUGUUGUGCAAGAGCACACACUCUAGACACGCAGACGUUAAGAGUUGCGGCACACAGGCUCAGGAGUUGCAGCUUGUGAGUCCCAGAGCUUGGGCAGCUUCCGGAGCUUAGUUGCAUGUGGAAUCUUUCUGGACCAGGGAUCGAACCCGUGUCCCGUACAUUGGCAGGUGGAUUCCUAUCCACUGUGCCACCAGGGAAGUCCCCUACUUUUUUUAAAGUGACAUUAUAAAUUAGCAUGAAGUUGAAAUGUCAAUUGGACUGAAGCAGAUAAACCUUUUGUUUUAAUUAAUAGAACUUAAUAGGGUGAUC